rnacentral:rRNA from 1 species
AUAAGGAGUCGGACCUGCCCAGUGAAAUAUUUUAAACGGCCGCGGUACUCUGACCGUGCAAAGGUAGCAUAAUCAUUUGCCCUAUAAUUGAGGGCUAGUAUGAAUGGUUUGACAAGAAUAAAGCUGUCUCUUUUUAAUUAUAUAGAAUUUUAUUUUUAGGUGAAGAAGCCUAAAUUAUAUUAAAAGACAAGAAGACCCUAUCGAGCUUUAAAUAAAUUGAUAGCUUUACAGAAAUAUUUAUUAAAACAAUAUCUAUUAAAAAUUUUGGUUGGGGCGACAAAGGAACACACAAAGCUUCUUUUAAAUCUGUACAAACUACACAAGUUUUGAUCCAAUAAAUAUUGAUUAAAGGAAUUAGUUACCGUAGGGAUAACAGCAUUAUCUUUUUUGAGAGCUCAUAUCGAAAAAAAGGUUUGUGACCUCGAUGUUGGACCAGAAUAUCCCAAAGAUGCAGAAGUCUUUAAAGGUUGGUCUGUUCGACCAUUAAAAUUCU